UAGCUCAGUUGGUUAGAACGUGCGACUCAUAAUCACCCGGUCGCUGGUUCAAGUUCAGC
rnacentral:tRNA from 1 species